GGCCAGGUCUGUCCACAGGGCAAGGCCUGCGGCCAGAGUGGACCCGCAGUCGGAAGGCACAUGGCACAUGGCAUGGGGACCACGCGGGACACCCACCUGGUAGCCCGCCCAUACUGUGCCCCCUGGAGCCUCUGACUGGCUAUGGCACCCCUCACUUUGGCCAGGGGGACAGUGAGGGGUCAGUGACCGCAGUGUCCCUCCUGGAGGACACGGCCACAGUAGCCAACGUCUAUAAAAGAGGUGCACACAUAGGCUCCAUCUUAGUUUGGCCUUCUGUCUCCGGACCAGCCAACCUGUGACCUCUUGGCAAAACUCAGCCUCCUGUUGCAUACUGGAGAACUUCAUUACCAUAAUAAAAUGUGAUGUUCUUGGCUGUGAAUUCCUGCUACAAUGUGAACUAGGAUCCCAAGGCAAGCAGUAGGAAAAAAGGGAUUGUUCUUCUGAAUUGCACAUCCGUCAGUCUCCUCCUGGGAAGAGACAGCUAUUUCUUAUCUUGGCUGUUUUACAUCACUGAGAUGUGAAGGGAGAAUUUGAAGGAAGGAAAUCAGAGAAAAGACAGAGAGACCUCUAUGUUUCAGAGCAUUGGAAGGAACUGCUGUCUACGUAUCAGAAGAAGGGUGGGGUGGUUGGUUGUGGUGGGGACAAGAAUGCUGUAGGUAAUGAAGAGCCAGAGAACCUCCACUGAUAAAGAAAACUUUUGGUGAAAAUAUCUUUGAUCUGCUAUCCUUUGCCCUUUUGAAAAAGACAAAUAAAUAUCUUUGCAUUAUUUUGGCCUACAAACUUCUUGUCAGUAGCGAUUAUCCUCUGAGAUCCUAAAGGAAAGAUGCAUCUACGUUAUUCAUGCCUCAAAGACUGAAAAGAAAGGAAAACAUCCUUUUGCACUAUUCCAGGACACACUGCCCUGGAAGUAGAGGCUUAUGACUAAAUCUAGUGUAAAUAAUGUCAUUUGGUAAUACUUCAAGAAAUGACAGCAGGGUUAAUUUAGUCUUCCCUCUGGGGACCAAGAAUGAACACAUGGGUUCUCUAAGAAGACACAAAGAAAUUUUAAUUAUCUCAUUUAGAACAAACUCUGUUUAAAGGACACAGAUUUGAAAUGCGUGAGGGGCAAACUUCAAAAGAUUGGGAGUUAAAGAUAAGCACCCAAAAUGUAGAGUACUUAUCUGAAGCUUAUCGGGACUAUCUGAUGCUCUGUGAAAUGGUACCAGAAAUCCUGUACCAGCAGGCCUUCUGCAGUAAAUUCAGAACUUCCUUUCAGGCUAGAAACUUGAUCUGUUUGGUGAUAAUUCCUCACCCCUGGACCUUGUGUAGAGAGCCUAGCAUGACAACUCGAAACCCAGUAACUUUAGAAACUCCUGCCAUGGAAGUGCUAACCAGGCAUUUCACAACUCAAAACUCUUCAUGCAGCAACAGGAGCUUGGACAAAAUCAGCCAGUUUCCCCUGUGACAGCAGAUGGUCUGAAAAGCAGCCCUUUCCCAAGAACUGCUGUGGACAAUGACACUUCUCCACAGCCUAGAAAAGAAACAUCAUCUCUUGGCAUCUGCUAGUGAGGGAAGGGAACAACGAACCAGGCUUUAUCAGGUUUAAUUGAACAUUUAUUUUCCAGCUUUUUGGACCUUUGUGUUAAAAACCACUAAGUUAAAAAUUGUAGAAAACGAUAUGCAAAAACACAUUUGCAAAAAAUUCGGUAACUAUCCUGGGGUAAAUAGCGGUCCUAAUAAACUGCUCUGGUCCCGAGAAGUGGAAAAAUGUGUCUAUGUGGGGAAAAAGAUUCCAAGCAGAUUAUUUCUCCU